AUGCGCAUGCGGGGACCCAGAAAUUGCCCAUUGCGCUGUCGCAAAACGAACACGGGGCGGUGCUUUUUGUAGACGUGCCUCGCGUUGAGGACAUGGAAGUGGCCCCCAUUUGCGACGAAACAGUGUGUCUGCAACACGUUAGCACCGCAAUGGAAGUGUGUAACGGCUAAGGCUUGUUCAUGCGUGCAGUCUUUUGAAGAUGCUGACAUGUUCAACAGUGAUGACAUGGGUACACCGGGAUCGAAUUGCACGGAGCAUCUUCUAUUCCACUGUGUACAAGUGCCCGACUGCUCCUCAAGGAUCGGAAGUGCAAGACUAGAAUGACCCUACCGACUGUUACGGCCGGACCCAAGGUGUUUUAUGGGAUGUCCUACAAGUGAAUCCACUGUGCAAGCGACGAUGAGGUGUUGCAACUGAAGAUAGACUGUACCCUGGAGAGAGCUCUUAUUUUGUGUCUCACAGUAUACUAUGACCAGGAACUGUGGUUAUAUAGCAGAUUUUGGGUAGCUGUUGGGCCUCAUGCAGGACUUAUUUAGACGACAGGAGUGCAAAAGGAUUUAUGAGCAGUAAGCUAAAGAAAUUUCUUUCGAAAGUUAGUUAUCCCCGCAACCGCGAAAUCACGCGAUCUUGACCAAAUUGCAUGAAAGAAAGUCGCCAUAGCUGUGUCACUGAUUAUGA